UGGUGGUGGUGGUGAUGAUGAUGGUGGUGGUGGUGGUGGUGAUGAUGAUGGUGGUGGUGGCGAUGAUGAUCGUGGUGGUGAUGAUGGUGGUGGUGGUGGUGAUGACGAUGAUGAUAGUGGUGGUGAUGAUGAUAGAGGUGGACCUGGUGGUGAUGAUGAUGGUGAUGGUGAUGCUUCAAUCGAAUGGACUUGUGUUAGAAACGUCAUUAUCGCCACAAGUAGGCUCCUAAUAUAAAUGCCAACAAAAAUCACGGGCUAUCUCAUGCUAGUAGCCCGGCAUCGAUUUUUUUCUAAGUGUCGAGUGAAAUUAGUUUUUCUAACAUUUAACCGGCUACGGGCUAAUAAUAUAAAUGCCGACAAAAACGACGGGCUACCUGUCAAAAAUCAGGGCUACCUCAUGCUAAUAGCCCGGUAUCGAUUUUUUCUAAGUGUCGAGUGAAAUUAGUUUUUCUAACAAAUAACCGGCUACGGGCUAAUAAUAUAAAUGCCAACAAAAUGCUGCCUGUCAAAAUCACGGGCUACCUCAUGCUAGUAGCCCGACAUCGAUUUUAUUCUAAGUGCAGUGUCGAAAUUUAUAUAGCACACGAUACUUAGAAAAAAAUCGAUGCUGGGCUACUAUAGUAUGAAGUAGCCCGUAAUUUUGACAGGUAGCCCGUUGGUAGCCCGUUGUUUUUGUUGGCAUUUAUUGCUGCCGCAGCGAGCGAGCCUGAAGCGAGCGAGCAAGGCAGCAGACCUAAUCUUUAUGUAUAUGUAUUACCGUAUUUACUCGAUUGAGCGCCGCCCCCGAAUGAGCGCCGCCCCCAAAUGAGCGCCGCAUUUGAGAUCAAAUUUUUUUAAAGAGCGCCGCCCCCGAACGAGCGCCGCACUAAGCAAUGUAACAAUUUUCCACCGUCAAAAUGGGGACAUUUAGUGACAAAGACAUUCAAAACUUGUUUAUUUUAUUGUUAAAAGUUCUUGAUAUAAUUCACAAAUAAAGAUUUUUUAAAG